CAGCCGUAAACUAUGCGCGUUAGGUGUAUCGGUGACCACGAGUUACCGAGGUGCCGAAGGGAAACCGUGAAACGUGCCGCCUGGGAAGUACGGUCGCAAGGCUGAAACUUAAAGGAAUUGGCGGGGGAGCACCACAACAGGUGGAGCCUGCGGUUUAAUUGGACUCAACGCCGGGAAGCUCACCGGAUAAGACAGCGGAAUGAUUGCCGGGCUGAAGACUCUGCAUGACUUGCUGAGAGGAGGUGCAUGGCGUAGACGUCU
rnacentral:rRNA from 1 species